AGCGCGAGCUAUACAUGCAAGUCGAGCGCGGGAAGCAGGCAGAUCCUCUUCGGAGGUGACGCCUGUGGAACGAGCGGCGGACGGGUGAGUAACACGUGGGCAACCUGCCUGUAAGAUUGGGAUAACCCCGGGAAACCGGGGCUAAUACCGGAUAAUACUUUUCGUUGCAUAACGAGAAGUUGAAAGGCGGCUUUUAGCUGUCACUUACAGAUGGGCCCGCGGCGCAUUAGCUAGUUGGUAAGGUAACGGCUUACCAAGGCGACGAUGCGUAGCCGACCUGAGAGGGUGAUCGGCCACACUGGGACUGAGACACGGCCCAGACUCCUACGGGAGGCAGCAGUAGGGAAUCUUCCGCAAUGGACGAAAGUCUGACGGAGCAACGCCGCGUGAGUGAUGAAGGUUUUCGGAUCGUAAAACUCUGUUGUCAGGGAAGAACAAGUGCCGUUCAAAUAGGGCGGCACCUUGACGGUACCUGACCAGAAAGCCCCGGCUAACUACGUGCCAGCAGCCGCGGUAAUACGUAGGGGGCAAGCGUUGUCCGGAAUUAUUGGGCGUAAAGCGCGCGCAGGCGGUCCUUUAAGUCUGAUGUGAAAGCCCACG
rnacentral:rRNA from 1 species